UACAGAGGUCUCAAGCGUUGUUCGGAUUCAUUGGGCGUAAAGGGUGCGUAGGCGGCGCGGUAAGUCGGGUGUGAAAUCUCGGAGCUUAACUCCGAAACUGCAUUCGAUACUGCCGUGCUUGAGGACUGGAGAGGAGACUGGAAUUUGACGGUGUAGCGGUGAAAUGCGUAGAUAUCGUAAGGAAGACCAGUGGCGAAGGCGGGUCU
rnacentral:rRNA from 1 species